rnacentral:tRNA from 1 species
GGGUCGGUAGCUCAGUCGGUAGAGCAUCUGACUUUUAAUCAGGUGGCCCCGGGUUCGAGUCCCGGCCGACCCA